ensembl:snoRNA
CUCCAUGUAUAUUUGGAACCUGUCUUCUGUGACAGUCUCCCUUCCUAGCCACGGAAGAGCAUAUUCUUGGUUUUUGCAAAGCUAUCACCAUUUAGUUGGUAUCAGAUUCUGAUUUGCACAGGUAACAUUC